rnacentral:ncRNA from 1 species
GGGUCCGAAGCGAUUCUGACGUGCAAAUCGAUCGUCUGACUUUGGUAUAGGGGCGAAAGACUAAUCGAACUAUCUAGUAGCUGGUUCCCUCUGAAGUUUCCCUCAGGAUAGCUGGAGCACGUAAUAAAGCAGUUAUAUUCGGUAAAGCGAAUGAUUAGAGGAAUUGUGGGACGAAACGUCUUCAACCUAUUCUCAAACUUUCAAUGAGUAUGACGUCUUGCUUGCUUGAAUGAAGCAUAGACAUUGAAUGUGUGCUCCAAGUGGGCCAUUUUUGGUAAGCAGAACUGGCGCUGUGGGAUGAACCAAACGUUGAGUUAAAGUGCCAAACUUUCCGCUCAUGAGACCCCAUGAAAGGCGUUGGUUGAUAUAGACAGCAGGACGGUGGCCAUGGAAGUUGGAAACCGCUAAGGAGUGUGUAACAACUCACCUGCCAAAUCAACUAGCCCUGAAAAUGGAUGGCGCUUGAGCGGAAGACUUAUACUCAACCGUUGCAUGGCUUGUGUUCAAAAAAAAAAAAAAACGAAACCUGGCCGCAACGAGUAAGAGGGUCGCAAUGGUUAGCGUUGAAGCUUGUGA